rnacentral:misc_RNA from 1 species
UUCCUUCAGCCUGAUAAAUACCAGCUGUGCUCAGUGUUUUUAUCUUUUUCUGAAUUUUCCGAAAAUGCCAAGCUCGUUCAAUGUAAAAGUCGAGAUAAAUUUCGUAAAUUCUAUUGUUCAGCUAAACAUUGUUAAAUAGCUUUGGAUGUUGGCUUGUCAGUAAAUUUCCAAAAAUCAAAUUCACAGGCAUUUGAUCAGCGGACAUUAAAAUAGUCGUAUUUGGGUAAAAUGUUUAAACCUUUGACAAUCGCAGUUGUAAUGGGCGUGUUGUCAGGUCAGGGUUUACAAGCUUUUGACUGCUGUGAUAGUUAUACGGAUGUACUAGGCGAAUAUCAUAAAGUAGAGUUAUGUCUUGACUACUGCUGCUGGACAAUAGGGGUGGCAUACAAAGGCUGCUGUAGCAACAUAUUUAGAAUGAUUCCUACCCCUACAAAUGAAACCGUAGAAUGUGUUCACCACUGGUUUAAAGAGAACGAGUGGUGGUGCAGAAAGUGGUCAGCGCUGAUUAUCUUUGCUACUGUUUGGUUCUUAUCAAAUUUUUUGCAAUUGUUCCCAUAAGGAUCCUGCGCCAUUGAUUAUAUAUACCUACAUCAUCAUAACCAGUUUUUACAACAAACAGUUUCACGAUGAGUUUGAUUAAUAGACGAUAUCAAGACUUGGUUAAUAACGUAACAACAGGAAUAGACACGUAAUGCCGAUGGGAAAAUAUAUUGAACUAAUUUGAGAAUAAAAUAUUGUAUUUUGUAUAGGAAUACUUGUAAACAGCAAAUACAUUCAUUUUCAUAUAAAUUGCAGACUGCGUAAGUAAAAAAAUCUACGCUCUUUUUGGUUCUUGCUUUUAAUUUCUUCUUUGCAUCAGGAGAAAUCGUACAGGGCCGACAACAUUCUGCCUGACCGUUCGAGUUAAGAAAACUGUUGUUGUUUUCUUUUUCUAGAUUUUGGGAACAUGUGCCCUUUAAGCGACAUUUUCAUGAACACUUUGGGAUUAUUCCGCUUUCUUUUUAUCCGUAGGUUUUGCUGUUAAGGAUUCAGUGUCUAUGGUGAUAAGUGCUUUUGAUAUUUACGUUGAGUUCAUUGUAUCAAGAUUCAUUUUAAUUAACCUUUUCUGUUCCGUUUAUAAGACACUUGUUGCUG